rnacentral:rRNA from 1 species
GGUUAAGCGACUAAGCGUACACGGUGGAUGCCCUGGCAGUCAGAGGCGAUGAAGGACGUGCUAAUCUGCGAUAAGCGUCGGUAAGGUGAUAUGAACCGUUAUAACCGGCGAUUUCCGAAUGGGGAAACCCAGUGUGUUUCGACACACUAUCAUUAACUGAAUCCAUAGGUUAAUGAGGCGAACCGGGGGAACUGAAACAUCUAAGUACCCCGAGGAAAAGAAAUCAACCGAGAUUCCCCCAGUAGCGGCGAGCGAACGGGGAGCAGCCCAGAGCCUGAAUC